ACAGGCGGAGCUGGAGCACAAACGGGGGCGCUUCGAUUCUGUCUGGCCCAUGCGGGGCUGUUGGAGUCUCUCCCGGCCCGGAGAAGGGUUUGUGCCCUUGGAGCUGUGGGCAUGUGCAGAUAGCGGCGGGAGAGACCUUCAUUAACCCCCCUCUCCCCCGCGUGCCCGGCUCGGCUCGGCUCGCCCCCGUUGCAGAGCUGCAGCCUCCAGGCUACAGAUUAAUGUACACGUUUUGCUCCAGAUCAUCCCAUCCUCCCAGGGGGAAGGAAAUGUCUGCAAUGGAGCUGACUCAGGGGCCGGUGACUUUCGAAGAGGUGGCUGUGUAUUUCACCAGGGAAGAGGGGGCUCUGCUGGACCCCACUCAGAGAGCCCUCUACAGGGAUGUCAUGCAGGAGAGCUAUGAGACGGUGGUCUUGCUGGAUAAGCAGUCCUGUCCCCUGGGUUGUUAGAAGCUGUGGGGUCUCUGAAGAACCUGAGUCGUAAUAACUUUAUACCUUUAUUCAUAAUAAAAGUUUUGACAGGUUU